GACGGACGCUGGCGGCGUGCCUAAUACAUGCAAGUCGAGCGAACCAAUAGGAGCUUGCUCCUGUUGGUUAGCGGCGGACGGGUGAGUAACACGUGGGCAACCUGCCUGUAAGACUGGGAUAACACCGGGAAACCGGUGCUAAUACCGGAUAAUCUUUUUCCUCUCAUGAGGAAAAACUGAAAGUCGGUUUCGGCUGACACUUACAGAUGGGCCCGCGGCGCAUUAGCUAGUUGGUGAGGUAACGGCUCACCAAGGAGACGAUGCGUAGCCGACCUGAGAGGGUGAUCGGCCACACUGGGACUGAGACACGGCCCAGACUCCUACGGGAGGCAGCAGUAGGGAAUCUUCCACAAUGGACGAAAGUCUGAUGGAGCAACGCCGCGUGAGCGAUGAAGGCCUUCGGGUCGUAAAGCUCUGUUGUUAGAGAAGAACAAGUACCGGAGUAACUGCCGGUGCCUUGACGGUACCUAACCAGAAAGCCACGGCUAACUACGUGCCAGCCGCCGCCGUAA
rnacentral:rRNA from 1 species